rnacentral:rRNA from 1 species
UACGAAGGGGGCUAGCGUUGCUCGGAAUCACUGGGCGUAAAGCGCACGUAGGCGGAUUGCUAAGUCAGGGGUGAAAUCCUGGAGCUCAACUCCAGAACUGCCUUUGAUACUGAAGAUCUUGAGUUCGGGAGAGGUGAGUGGAACUGCGAGUGUAGAGGUGAAAUUCGUAGAUAUUCGCAAGAACACCAGUGGCGAAGGCGGCUCACUGGCCCGAUCUUGACGCUGAGACGCGAAAGCGUGGGGAGCAAACAGG